AGGCCUGCCAUUGAUUUGAAAAUUAAAAGGCUGCGGUAUUUUAACUGUACGAAGGUAGCAUAAUCAUUUGUCUUUUAAUUGGAGGCUAGAAUGAAUGGUUUGAUGAGAAAUAAGCUUUCUUUUUUUAAUUUAUUUGAAUUUAAUUUUUUAGUUAAAAAGCUAAAAUUUUUUUAUAGGACGAGAAGACCCUAUAGAAGUUUACUAUAUUAAUAAUUUUUUGUUUUUUGUUUUUAAAAUAUUUUUUUAAAUUAUAUAGUUUUGUUGGGGUGACAUUAAAAUUUAUUUAACUUUUAUUUUUUAUUUCAUUAAUUUAUGUUUUUUUGAUCCAAUAUUUAUUGAUUAAAAGUUUAACUUACUUUAGGGAUAACAGGAAAUUUUUUUUU
rnacentral:rRNA from 1 species